AAUCUUCCGCAAUGGACGAACGUCUGACUGAGCAACGCGGCGUGGGUGAUGAAGGUUUUCGAAUCGUAAAGCUCUGUUGCUUGGGAAGAACAACUAUCGGAGCCACUGCCCGUACCUUGUCGGUAGCUGACGAGAAAGUCACGGCUAACUACGUGCCCGCAGCCGCGGUAAUACGUAGGCGGCAAGCGUUGUCCGGAAUUAUUGGGCGUACAGCCGACGCAGGCGUUCCUUUAAGUCUGAAGGAAAAGCCCACGGCGCAACCGUGGGGGGUCAUCGGACACUGGGGGACUUGAGUGCAGAAGAGGAAAGUGGAAAUCCAAGUGUAGCGGUGAAAUGCGUAGAGAUUUGGAGGAACACCAGUGGCGAAGGCGGCUUUCUGGUCUGUAACUGACGCUGAGGCGCGAAAGCGUGGGGAGCAAACA
rnacentral:rRNA from 1 species